AUUGAACGCUGGCGGCAGGCUUAACACAUGCAAGUCGAGCGGAGAUGAGGUGCUUGCACCUUAUCUUAGCGGCGGACGGGUGAGUAAUGCUUAGGAAUCUGCCUAUUAGUGGGGGACAACAUUCCGAAAGGAAUGCUAAUACCGCAUACGUCCUACGGGAGAAAGCAGGGGAUCUUCGGACCUUGCGCUAAUAGAUGAGCCUAAGUCGGAUUAGCUAGUCGGUGGGGUAAAGGCCUACCAAGGCGACGAUCUGUAGCGGGUCUGAGAGGAUGAUCCGCCACACUGGGACUGAGACACGGCCCAGACUCCUACGGGAGGCAGCAGUGGGGAAUAUUGGACAAUGGGGGGAACCCUGAUCCAGCCAUGCCGCGUGUGUGAAGAAGGCCUUAUGGUUGUAAAGCACUUUAAGCGAGGAGGAGGCUACUGAGACUAAUACUCUUGGAUAGUGGACGUUACUCGCAGAAUAAGCACCGGCUAACUCUGUGCCAGCAGCCGCAGUAA
rnacentral:rRNA from 1 species